UGUGCCAGCCGCCGCGGUAAUUCCAGCUCCAAUAGCGUAUAUUAAAGUUGUUGCAGUUAAAAAGCUCGUAGUUGAACCUUGGGCCUGGCUAGCCGGUCCGCCUCACCGCGUGUACUGGUCCGGCUGGGCCUUUCCUUCUGGGGAUCCGCAUGCCCUUCACUGGGUGUGUCGGGGAACCAGGACUUUUACUUUGAAAAAAUUAGAGUGUUCAAAGCAGGCCUUUGCUCGAAUACAUUAGCAUGGAAUAAUAGAAUAGGACGUGCGGUUCUAUUUUGUUGGUUUCUAGGACCGCCGUAAUGAUUAAUAGGGAUAGUCGGGGGCAUCAGUAUUCAAUUGUCAGAGGUGAAAUUCUUGGAUUUAUUGAAGACUAACUACUGCGAAAGCAUUUGCCAAGGAUGUUUUCAUUAAUCAGGAACGAAAGUUAGGGGAUCGAAGACGAUCAGAUACCGUCGUAGUCUUAACCAUAAACUAUGCCGACUAGGGAUCGGGCGAUGUUAUUAUUUUGACUCGCUCGGCACCUUACGAGAAAUCAUAAGUUUUUGGGUUCUGGGGGGAGUAUGGUCGCAAGGCUGAAACUUAAAGAAAUUGAUGGAAGGGCACCACCAGGCGUGGAGCCUGCGGCUUAAUUUGACUCAACACGGGGAAACUCACCAGGUCCAGACACAAUAAGGAUUGACAGAUUGAGAGCUCUUUCUUGAUUUUGUGGGUGGUGGUGCAUGGCCGUUCUUAGUUGGUGGAGUGAUUUGUCUGCUUAAUUGCGAUACGAACGAGACCUUAACCUGCUAAAUAGCCCGGCCAGCUUUUGCUGGUCGCUGGCUUCUUA
rnacentral:rRNA from 1 species